AUGUCUCCGACGGUCAGAAGUAACAAUGCACAGUUGCAAACUGUUCCAAACCUCAUUGACACUAUUAAUUGGUCGUGGAAAACUGAUGUGAUUCGUCAAAACUUUAUCAACCGCGACGCGGAUGCUAUUCUCAAUAUCCCUUUGAGGCGAGGUGGGGGUGAUGAUGUUUUUGCAUGGGCUCUCGAAAGAUCGGGCUGCUAUAAUGUAAGAUCAACGUAUCAUGCUCUAAUGACUCAUAACAAGCAUCAUGCUCUAGAGGAAGGGACGAUCACUGAAACUUCAUCGACAGACAAACAGCUAUGGUCCCGGUUAUGGAAGCUCAAGGUUUUGCCAAGGGUGAGAGUGUUCUGGUGGCGGGUCCUUCAUGGGAUUCUCCCGGUUGAAUCUACUCUCAUGUUCCGUCAUAUCACAAUUGUUGUCACCUGUAAAUUAUGCCUUCAUGCAGAGGAAGACAUGAAGCAUGCGUUAUUGGAUUGCACCCAUGCCAGACGGUUUUGGAAUGCAGCACCGGAGUGGCUUGAUGUCAAGCGAUCGGAGUUGCGCCCGCUCACCUGGUCUAGGGAUGUUAUAUGCGAUCCUAUGUUCUCCGAGUCUAAGAGAGCAAAGAUGGUAACUAUUAUGUGGGCAAUCUGGACCUCAAGGAACAAUGCCACACAUGAUAAGAAAGAACUUGAUCCUAUUUAG
rnacentral:rRNA from 1 species